rnacentral:rRNA from 1 species
CCUACGGGGUGCUGCAGUGGGGAAUAUUGGACAAUGGGCGAAAGCCUGAUCCAGCCAUGCCGCGUGUGUGAAGAAGGCCUUCGGGUUGUAAAGCACUUUCAGUGGGGAAGAAAGCCUUGGGGCUAAUACCCUCGAGGAAGGACAUCACCCACAGAAGAAGCACCGGCUAACUCCGUGCCAGCAGCCGCGGUAAUACGGAGGGUGCGAGCGGUAAUCGGAAUUACUGGGCGUAAAGCGCGCGUAGGCGGUCUGAUAAGCCGGUUGUGAAAGCCCCGGGCUCAACCUGGGAACGGCAUCCGGAACUGUCAGGCUAGAGUGCAGGAGAGGAAGGUAGAAUUCCCGGUGUAGCGGUGAAAUGCGUAGAGAUCGGGAGGAAUACCAGUGGCGAAGGCGGUCUUCUGGACUGACACUGACGCUGAGGUGCGAAAGCGUGGGUAGCAAACAGGAUUAGAUACCCGUGUAGUC